UACGAAGGGGGCUAGCGUUGCUCGGAAUCACUGGGCGUAAAGCGCACGUAGGCGGAUUGCUAAGUCAGGGGUGAAAUCCUGGAGCUCAACUCCAGAAAUGCACUUGAUACUGGAUGACUAGAGGACCGGAGAGGAUAGUGGAAUUCCCAGUGUAGUGGUGAAAUACGUAGAGAUCGGGAAGAACAUCAGUGGCGAAGGCGGUCUGCUGGGCCGUUGCUGACGCUGAGGCGCGACAGCGUGGGGAGCAAACAGG
rnacentral:rRNA from 1 species